GACAGAGGUGCCGAGCGUAGGCGGAAUCACUGGGCUUAAAGCGUGUGUAGGCGGACUUCUAAGUACCUUGUGAAAUCCCACGGCUCAACCGUGGAACUGCUCGGUAUACUGGUUGUCUUGAGCCACUUAGGGGCAGUCGGAACAGACGGUGGAGCGGUGAAAUGCGUAGAUAUCGUCUGGAACGCCAAAGGUGAAAACAGGUCUGCUGGGUAGUGCGCGUGCUGAGACACGAAAGCCAGGGGAGCAAACGGG
rnacentral:rRNA from 1 species